GCCCGGGUAAGUCUUAUACGACCAGCUCCUACAGAACCCCCCAGGUGAGGAAUCAAGCAAGGGUAUGUGGUUGUAGCGGUGCGAUAUAAGUAGCUUACCCU
rnacentral:SRP_RNA from 1 species